rnacentral:misc_RNA from 1 species
AAGAGUUACUAUAACUCCCAAACCCCUGUGAACUUACCGUACGUUGCCUCGGCAGGUCGCGCCCACCCCCCGUAGCACCCUACCUCGUAGGGGGCCUACCAGGUGGUCGCGGACAAGCCUGCCGGUGGCCCAACCAAACUCUGUUUAGCAUUGCAUCUCUGAACUUGAUAACUAAAUCAGUUA